rnacentral:snRNA from 1 species
GUGCUUGCUUCAGCAACACAUAUACUAAAAUUGGUACGAUACAGAGAAGAUUAGCAUGGCCCUCUGCGCAAGGAUGACACACAACUUAUAUAGUAAUGCAUUGAGACU